ensembl:lncRNA
AGCACAGCACCAUCUGGACAAACCAAAUUAUACAACUACAAAAACAAAACUACAUCACCUAUUGGAAAGAUGCUACUAAAUCACAAAAGAAGAUGGAACUCUAUUUAAAGCUGAAGAGAGAUUAUAAACCAGCAGAAUACCUGAGCUGUGUGAAAGAGCAUAAAUUGAGAAAGACCCUAAGCAGAUAUAGACUGAAGCAACACCAAACAACUCGUGCAGAGCUGAAUUAGGACAAUACCCCUUAUUGAUCAGUAUCCAGAAAAGAGCUGUGAAGUUCUAC